GAGGAUAUAGCUCAGUAGUGUAGUGCCUGCCUGGCAAGCACAAGGUCCUGAGUUCGAUUCCUGGUACUCUCA
rnacentral:tRNA from 1 species